CAUACAGCAUCGCCGGCCUUAUUGCCGUCCUAUAAAAAUUUUCCCUUGAGCUUCAGUGGCAUACGGCGGUCACACAACACGCCGGAUGCACUCUUCCACUUCAUCCAUCCAGCUUGUAUUCUAUGGUUGAGAUCUCCAUCUAAUUCUCCGUUCUUUUGCAAGAUAGAUCCUAGGUAACGAAAACGGUCGCUCUUUGGUAUUUCUUGAUCUCCGAUCCUCACCCCUAACUCGUUUUGGCCUCCAUUUGCACUGAACUUGCACUCCAUAUAUUCUGUCUUUGAUCGGCUUAGGCGAAGACCUUUAGAUUCCAACACUUCUCUCCAAAGGUUAAGCUUUGCAUUUACCUCUUCCUGAGUUUCAUCUAUCAACACUAUAUCGUCUGCGAAAAGCAUACACCAAGGAAUAUCAUCUUGAAUAUGUCGUGUUAACUCAUCCAUUACCAACGCAAAAAGGUAAGGACUUAAGGAUGAGCCUUGAUGUAAUCCUACAGUUAUGGGAAAGCUUUCGGUUUGUCCUUCAUGAGAGUUCUUACGGCAGUCUUUGCUCCUUCAUACAUAUCCUUUAUAGCUUGGAUAUAUGCUACUCGUACUCCUUUCUUCUCUAAAAUCCUCCAAAGAAUGUCUCUUGGGACCCUAUCAUACGCUUUUUCCAAAUCUAUAAAGACCAUGUGUAAAUCCUUUUUCCCAUCUCUAUAUCUUUCCAUCAAUCUUCGUAAGAGAUAGAUUGCCUCCAUGGUUGAGCGCCCUGGCAUGAACCCGAAUUGGUUGUCCGAAACCCGUGUCUCUUGCCUCAAUCUAUGCUCAAUGACUCUCUCCCAGAGCUUCAUUGUAUGACUCAUUAGCUUAAUACCCCUAUAGUUCAUGCAAUUUUGUACGUCGCCCUUAUUCUUGUAGAUAGGCACCAAAGUGCUCAUUCGCCACUCAUUUGGCAUCUUCUUCGUUUUCAAAAUCCUAUUGAAAAGGUCAGUGAGCCAUGUUUAUACCUGUCUCUCCCAAAAGUUUCCACACUUCGAUUGGUAUAUCGUCUGGGCCUAUUGCUUUUUUAUGCUUCAUCUUCUUCAAAGCUACAACCACUUCUUCCUUCCGGAUUCGACGAUAAAAAGAGUAGUUUCUACACUCUUCUGAGUUACUCAACUCCCCUAAAGAAGCACUCAUUUCAUGUCCUUCAUUGAAAAGAUUAUGAAAAUAACCUCUCCAUCUGUCUUUAACCGCGUUCUCUGUAGCAAGAACCUUUCCAUCCUCAUCCUUGAUGCACCUCACUUGGUUUAGGUCCCUUGUCUUCUUUUCCCUUGCUCUAGAUAGUUUAUAGAUAUCCAACUCUCCUUCUUUGGUAUCUAGUCGUUUAUACAUAUCGUCGUAAGCCGCUAACUUAGCUUCUCUGACAGCUUUCUUCGCCUCUUGCUUCGCUUUUCUAUACCUUUCACCAUUUUCAUCAGUCCUCUCCUUGUAUAAGGCUUUACAACAUUCCUUCUUAGCCUUCACCUUUGUUUGUACCUCCUCAUUCCACCACCAAGAUUCCUUUUGGUGUGGGGCAAAGCCCUUGGACUCUCCUAAUACCUCUUUUUGCUACUUUUCGGAUACAACUAGCCAUGGAAUCCCACAUUUGGCUAGCUUCCCCCUCUCUAUCCCACACACAUUGGGUGAUUACCUUCUCUUUGAAAAUGGCUUGUUUUUCUUCUUUUAGAUUCCACCAUCUAGUCCUUGGGCACUUCCAAGUCUUGUUCUUUUGUCUUACUCUUUUUUGAUAUGUACAUCCAUCACCAACAAGCGAUGUUGAUUAGCCACGCUCUCUCUUGGUAUAACUUUGCAAUCCUUACAAGUUAUACGAUCCCCUUUCCUCAUUAGAAGAAAAAUCUAUUUGUGUUUUUGACGACCCACUCUUGUAGGUGAUCACAUGUUCUUCUCUCUUCUUAAAGAAGGUGUUGGCUAAGAAGAGAUCAUAUGCCAUUGCAAAAUCCAAGAUAGCUUCCCCAUCCUCGUUUCUCUCCCCAAAACCAUGGCCACCAUGAAAACCUCCAUAGUUGCCUGUCUCCCUACCCACGUGUCCAUUUAAAUCUCCUCCUAUAAAUAACUUCUCCGUCUGAGCAAUUCCUUGCACCAAGUCUCCAAGAUCUUCCCAAAAUUUCUCCUUCGAACUCGUAUCCAACCCUACUUGAGGUGCGUACGCACUAAUCACAUUGAUAAGUUCUUGUCCUAUUACAAUCUUGAUUGCCAUGAUUCUAUCUCCUACCCUCUUGACAUCUACAACAUCUUGUACCAAGGUCUUGUCCACGAUGAUGCCAACACCGUUUCUCGUUCUAUUUGUGCCCGAAUACCAAAGUUUAAACCCUGAGUUUUCUAGAUCCUUUGCCUUACUACCAACCCACUUAGUUUCUUGUAGGCACAUAAUAUUUAUCCUUCUCCUCACCAUAACUUCCACUACUUCCAUAGAUUUUCCCGUUAAGGUUCCUAUAUUCCACGUUCCUAAACGCAUUUUGCUCUCUUGAACUCUACCCUUCUGUCCUAGCUUCUUCACCCUCCCCCGUCUAAUAGGAUCAAAGUACUUCUUUUGUGUGUCCCGGGUAAAGUUGAUAGGAGCAUAUGCUCCCAAACAACUUUGAGUGGAGUCGUUCGAAAAGAAGUUUCUAUGGCCCCCUUGCUCAUUUAACACUGCAUCCGGGUGCCGAUGGAGAUACAGCGACCCUUGCUCACUUAUCACUGUGCUCAGGCCACACAGCGCGCCACUUACGGGUGACGCCCUAGCUUUAGCGCGAUUUUGUUCUGGAUUCAUUUUCAUAAGGAUUCGACGUGAUCAUGGAGUGCCGGCUGUCGACUACCUGACGCCCUCCCCCUCCUCCUUUAUCCGGGCUUGGGACCGGCCAUGUAAGACAUAGGCGGAGUUACUAAGUAGUCCCAGACUAUUGAAGAAAAAUUGCAUAAUACAUAAAAGAAAAUUAGAGGUGAUACGUACCAGCUCAAGUGCGUUGCUUAUGUUGUCCUCAUUAGCUAGAAUGGUGUCGAAAACGUUUAAAUUUUUCUUGUUGAAUGACAUUAUAUCAAUUUUAGCAUCAAGUAUAGAAUCAUAAGCCGCGUAGCGGUGUUUGGGAUAAUGAGCAAGGUAAUGAAGAGGUGCAUUGCCAUUAGCAUCCUUGUCAUUUAAGAGGAUGUUGCUAAGCCACAGAUCCGUUAACACAAAAUCAACUACGUCAACUUGAUAGCUCUUUAUGGCAUAGUGAAGCACAUUCUGACAUUGGUUGUCGACCAGUUCACAACAAUCAGGGCAAUGAGUAAGAAGCUCUUUCAUUAUAUCUAGAUGGCCUUUGGACGCUGCAAAGUGAAGAGCUGUGCGCCCAUCAUUGUCAGCAACGUAGGCGGUCGAUUUAUCACAUUCCAAUAGUUGCUUAACCAUUGACAAGUAACCAAAAUCUGCAGCCAUGUGAAGCGGAAUGCCUCCUUGUUCGUCUGCUGCUUUUGCCAGAGUUCUAUCCGAUUUUAGUAAUGCUCUCGUCAUUACUUAAGUAUAAAAGAAAAACAAAACACAAAUAAAUACUUCAAGAAACAAAUGUAUUAAUGAAACAUGAAAUGAAAGAUAAAAGGGAUUAGUUUUUUUAAAACUAUUUUCUAUAUACAUUUACCUUCAUCAUUGCGGAUAAUUGCAGCGUACAAAGCCGUUCUACCAUUUGGGCCUUCAUAAGUUGGAUUUUUGCAACCUUCAAGUAUUUGAAGACAAUAAUGAGUGUAUCCCCUCUCGACAGCUAGGUAAAGAGGAGUCUCGCCGGCAUCAUUAGGAGAGUAGGAAAACUCAGGGUCUUCUUUGGUUAAUACCUCCACCACACCAAAGUAAUUAAAGCGUACAGCUUCGUGCAGCGCUGUGUCCUUCUUGUUGUUGGUUUUCCUGAUGAGUUUUUGCUCCUGCAAGGCGGCAUCUUCUGAUGAGAUCGCACAGCCUUGCUCAAGGUCACCUUGAUAAUAAGUUUUUGUAGCUAGGAGGAGAGCUCUAACUAUACCAGCACGCCCAUAUCUUGCCGCAAUGUGUAGGGCAGUAUCACCACUAUCGUUCUGCUGCCAUAGUAAUGCUGGACACAUUUUAAGGAUACCGUCCACAGUGUUCGUUGACUUGAGUAUCUCGUCCUCAGAUUCUUUGAACGUUGGGCGCCUAUAGCAUGCUGUAUAGAUAUGAAGGACUGUGUUCUUGGUUGCAGUCAAUAUUUUGUCCAGAUUCUCGCCAUGUUCCUUAAGGACAUUGAGAUUGCCUUGUUUUGCAGCAUUGAAAAUAUCACGAUCCAUGUUACUUAUAAAAACUGUACUAUUGUUCCCUUCUAAUUUUGCGGCUUCUUGGACGUCGGCCUGAUCUGCUAGCUCGAUCUGGUCACCGACAUCGGUUGAUGCUAACGGAGUAAUAGGACUCUCCGACUGAUUAGCCACAUUGGAGGCAUCCAUGCUCUUUUGUGUGGGGGGGGGGGGUUGGUUGGUGAGAAGAGUGGUUCUGGAGGGAAGGAAAAAUUACAAGAAGGCCAGUUCUGUUGACUAGUUCAAGCUGCAACCUGUUGGAGUUUAUGUUGAGAAAAUUAGAGUACACAAUUCGAAUAUAAAUGUUGGAGAGACAAAAUCAGUAAAGAAAUUACUUGUAUUACAUUUUAAAUAUUACAACAUACAAUUCUCAAAGACACAAUUUUAGAAGUUAUGACACUCUUAUUUUUUAAAGGCAAACUCUAGAUGACUCACUUCUCACAAAAACUACUCCCUAACAACACCACUCUUACUUAAGUGGAACCCACUUCUUGGUUUUUUGCUUGCUUCUUUUUUCGGUUCUUUGCUUUGCUUUUUUUUUCUUUUUCUUUUUCUUGCUUGCUUCUUUUUUUUGGUUCUUUGCUUUGCUUUUUUUUUUUUUUUUUUUUUUUUGUUCUUUGCUUGCUUCUUUUUUUGGUUCUUUGCUUUGCUUCUUUUAUUGUUUCUUGUCUUGGUUGAUUGCUUAUCUUCAUUGAUUCAAAUGGGAUGGAUGCCUUCUCCUUUUGUAGGCAUGAAUGGAACCUUGGAUAUGUCAUAUGUACGAUUUGAAUUCAUGACCUCUCCUAUCAAAGUGGAGCAACAAGGUGCCAUCGAACGAUUACUAACAAUGAACGACUUUAGAUUAAAAAUCAAGUGCAUCAAAGAUAAUUAGAGAAACUACGUUAAGAGUUUCAACAACAACAACAAUAGAGCUUUAUUCCAUUAAGUGAGGUCAACUGUAUGAAUCCUAGAACUCUACUGCGCUUGGUUUUGCACUAAGUCUUCUGUUAGCUCCAAGUAUUUCAUGUCUUUUCUUAGAGUCGUUUUCCAAGUCUUCCUAGGUUUUUCUUUACCCAUUUACCCUAAGCCUUGCUCUCAUAAUUGCAUCUUCUAAUUGGAGCAUCGGUUGGCUCUUGGUUCAUAUGUACAAACCACCUUAACUGAUUUUCUCUAAAAAAAAAGAGUUUCCAUUUCUAAUUUUCUUUGGACCCAUACCUCUUUGAUGUAGGCAACUUUGCUAUCUGGCGUAUUUCGCUACAUGCUGUAAACAUGAACUUAGCUAUCAGCAUCACAAGGCCACUAAACAUGUGAUUCAGGAAAUGUGGCCCCUUGAGUAUUUUUCUUUCAUUAGAAAGAAGGGAAUUUGCCAAGACAAGAAGAAAAAGAAGCCAAACACAAAAGCCGCUAUGGCGAGUCCGGUAGAAGGGCCAGCCAUCAAGUACUGCAUAUGUGACGGUAAUGAACGAAACCACCAUCGCAAUCAAAGCCCACAAAAUUGAAGAUACCACCCUGAAAAACGUGUCAGAUAUCCCAUUCUCAUAAUUUGGAUUUGUGUAGACGGAGGAAUAAAGGAGCACCAGGACGGAACAACUAGACACGGCCAUGGCUAUUUUAUCUGUUAUCACGAAUGCUUUGAACGCUGCACUUCUUGAUAGAACUAUGGCACCCUGGUCAAGUCCCUUCUCACUUUGGUAACCACCAGGCAUGGUAAAACCGGCUGCGAAUGUUACAGUUGCUAUAUCAAGGUAGCCACUAGCAGAUGUGUUUCUUUUGCUUUAUUCCAACUUUUUCCGAUUUCCUUGGAACCUUGAUUUUCUUCCACUUUAUCGCGACCAUCUCUGUGAUUCUUGAUUCUGUGACCUGGUCUACCACCCCGCUUUUGCAAUUGCACUUUAUGAUUUUCCUGCAAGACAGAAAAGUAUGACAAUGUGCCGGAAAACAUAACUCAAGUUUUUCGGACACAAGCAGUAGAAGGUGAUGACUACUGAGUAUGUACCUGCUCUUAUGAUAUGCUUAUCUUGUCCUCAUUAGCUAGAAUGAUAUCAAAGGCGUUGAAGUUUUCCUGGUUGAACAUCAUUCCCGAUAUUCGAAUUUAAAAUCUCUUGUUUAUAAAAGAAAGGGAAUAUCAGUAGUCAAUAUUACUAAGACGUUUUAAAAAUCAUUCAAAUCAAAUAUCUAGAAUUAUAUUUCUUUUUGUUAAAAAGGUUUAGGAGAAGCCACUUAGUACUACAGUCUAAUAGUAUUUUUCUUUACUUGUUGAAUGUCAUUCUCGGUAUUCGAAUUUAAGAUCUUUGUUUAUAAAUGAAAAGGAAUAUUAGUAGUCAAUAGUACUAAGACCUUUUAAAAACCAUUCAAAUCAAAUAUCUAGAAUUAUAUUUCUUUUUGUUAAAAAAGUUUAGGGGUAGCCACGUAGUGCUAAUAGUAUUCCUCUUCACUUGCAAGAACGUGGUUUUAGGUUCAAUUCUCGUCAAAGGUGAAUUUAAACCACAUAAUUGCUAGCCUAUUAUGAGUCUUAAUCUACUCCCCAUCUCCUUGGAGUAAAAAUAUCGUUUGUUAAAAAAAAAGUGUAGGAGAAGGGAACUCUAUCGCAUUUUAAGGCGUACAUGCCACAAAUCUCUUUGAAAACUUACAAUAACUGAAAACUCGUUAUUUAUAAGAUUUGGGCAAAAUUGGGCUUGUUUAAUUGGACCAUUGUCAAACAACUUGGGCUCAACAGGCCCAAUUGAAUCGGGGUUACCCGGUGGAGUUUUAGACUUGGUUCUGUAACAACUGACCCGAUUGCAGAGAAGCAUCGAAAAUCCGAAGCGAAGAAGGUGGUGUCUCGUACGGAUCGAGCAAGGAAGAAAUCAGACAUGGGAGAGGUAAUAGAAACCCUACCGGCGCACCGGAGCUCCUUCGCAGCUCCAAUUGUAUUCAUCGUCGUCGUCGCUUUCCAAAUCCUCUCUAGAUGGCUGGAACAGUUAAAGAAGGUAAUUUCCUCGACUAUUUUUAACUUGCAUUCAAACAAUUUAAUCCUAAUUUCUGUGCGAAGUUAGCUCUUAAUCUUUUUUUAUACUUUAAUUGCAUUUAUUCUGAAAUUAAAAUUUGAAGUUGGGUGAUUUGUUUUGUUGGCAGGGAGGAGUUAAGAAUGCUACGGCAACCCGAUUGCGUGGAGAAAUUAAAGACCUCUUGAAGGAGGCAAGCACCUUGUCACAGUGAGUGAUUUUUUAUUAUUUAAUCAUAUUUUUUCUCCAAUUUAUCAAAUGGAAUUUUAUUUAUUUAUACAUUUUUGGAUUUUCAGCAUUGUUUUGAUGCUUGCAGCUUCAAAUUUCUUAGCUUUAUAGUAUCAGGCGUUAGUUUGGAUUAUUUGCAGUUGCAUGAUCUUUGUUUUUGCCUGAAUCCAGGCCGUCGACAUUUGCGCAAGCUGCGAAACUUCGGAGGAUGGCAGCUGCGAAGGAGAAAGAACUUGCAAAUUGUUAGUUUGCAACUCCAGCCCUUGGAUUAUUGUUUAUGUUGAUCAUAUGUAUAAUUAUAUACAGGCAUUCCUAAAACACGUAUACUACGUAUAUAUGAUUGCAGAGAGUAAUUGUAUAUGACAUCCUUGGGCUCAAAGUUGUGUUUGUAUAAUGGCGUCCACGCAUUUUAUGAGUAUGAUGUUGUUAAGCAAAGUAUUGAAUGGCGAAGACAGUUUAGGUAGUUAUUCAAUGUCAUUACGUGCCGUCCAGAUCAAGAAUUACACGGCAAGGAGAUAAAACUUUCAUAUGAUUUGUAUCUGAGAAUUUUGUUCAUCUUAAAGGUAGUUCUCAGUAUUUUGAAUUUUCGAAAUAUUUAUUAGCUUUCUUCGAUAACAGGGAAUUGCCUGAGCUAGGGUUCUUAAAAGAUACACUUGGUUGUCCAUUUAGGUCUUGACAUAUAUUGUACUGGUUUGCUGGUUUUGGAGGGUUCCUGUUGCCUCCAUAUCGCAACAACUUGUGCAACCCUUUGGUAACGUGUUCUCGAUCCAAAUUUACUUUUCGAGUCCCCUCUUUCCUAUUGAGACAGUACAUCUAUAACAAUUGAUAGAAGUUACUGAUUACUAUCUCUUGUUGCCCUGCAGGGAAGCUGAUAUCAUGGAGGGCCGGAGGAAUUGUAAACGAAAAUGUUAUGGUAAAUAAAGUUGGAAUUACUUUUGAUCGUUACUUGUCAUAUAUUAUGGUAAAUAAAGUUGGAAUUAAUUUUGAUCGUUACUUGUCAUAUAUUAAAGGUGCCUUAAAUAAAUGAUCUAAAAAAUGCCAGUCUCUUAUCACUUCUGUAAGAGUAUCUAUAUUUGCUGGCACUCUAAUGUCUCGUCAAUACUAUGUAGUGUCACUUUCGUGUUUAGACUUCCGAUGUUUGCAUAUUACGUAUCUCGAAGAGAUAGGCAUUGCUUAGCAUGCGAUAUAGAGGAAUCUUAAGCAUGGUUUUGAGUAUUGCUUCUGAUCCUUCAUGAUUUGUUUUUGCAGGUAGGAAUUAUUCCUUGGUUGAUAUUAUCUACCAGGGUUAGCAAGUUCGUAUGUCGACUUGCCAAGUUCUAGAGUUUAAAUUAUUCGUGUCCUGUCAAGUUUUUAUUGUACCGACGGAAACAUGAUUUUGUUCUGUCAUUUACUCCACAAUGUUUAGUCAUGAACUUAAGAUUGUUACCUACUCGUGUAAUUUGUACCAGUAGCGUGCAUUACUCUUUCGGUUGUCUGUGAAAUUGAGUUUAUCGUUGUAGUAUGCUAAAGGUUGUGCAAAUGCAGCAGCUCUUACAUCACAAUACAUACUUACAUAUAUAUAUAUAUAUAUAUGUUCCAAAUUUUUGAACAUUGCCAACUCACAAACUUAUCUACAAUGGAGCUAGAAGACAAACAAUUAACCUAACACCAUUUGCAAAUUUAAUCUGGACAGUACACUUGUCACUUGAUUACUACUAAACUUUAAAACUAAAGUAAACUUGUUGCUGCUUCUGCUACUUCUGUUGUUUCGAAUUCCAGUUACCAGAAACGAUUUAGGCUCCAACAGCUACUCGGUCGGCCGAGGCCUGUAUGUUCCCCUCAAGAGCAUCGAGUUAAGCAGCGAAAUACAUGAGUUACUUAUUAGCAAUACAAUGCCUGAAUACAAAUGGUGCAGGAAAUGCGGGGCCUUUAGUAUUUUUCUUUCUAAAGAAAGAAUGGAAUGUGCAAAGAAAUAGAAGAAAAAGCAACCAAGCACAAGAACUGCAAUGGCUAAUCCCGGAGAAUGACCACCAAGUACUGCGUAUGUGCCAGUAACGAAUGCAAUCACCAUUGCAAUCAAAGCCAACAUUGUCAAAGUUACUACCAUUUGAAACGUCUCAGAGAUUUGGGUCAUGUACUUUCCUUUUGUGUGAAUGGAGGAAUACAGGAGCACCAGGACAGAACAACUAGACAGGGCCAUGGCUAGUGUAUCUGUUAUAACAAAUGCUUUGAACGCUGUGUUUUUUGAUAGAAUUGGGGAACCCUGGUCCGAUCCUCCUCCGCUUUGGUAACCACCGGGCAUGGUAAAACUCGCAGCAAAGGUUACGGUUGCUAUCAGUGUAGCCACCACCAGAUGGGUUUCUCUUGCUUUCGUUAUUCCUACUCCAGUGUCUUUGCCACCUUGGUGUUCCUCCUCCACUUCAUUGCCAUCAGCGUUGUGGCUUUUAAUUCUGUAACCUGGUCCACCACCCCUUACUUGCAAAAGUUUUUUUAAAUCUUCCUGCAAGACAUAAAAGAUUAAUGUUAUCUUCACAGACAAAUCUAAGGAUGAAGUUUAUGACCACCCUUAUUAUUGGUUAUGUAAUUGUACGGACAAGUUAUCCUUAUUUGGAUAGCUUAGGAUUUACUUCAUGGACAGAGCCGGAAAGUUUUUUUUUUCAGUGGGGUAACAUAGUAACAGGCUUCUCUUCUGUAGUCUAGGACUCUAGUCUACUGAGUAGCCCAACUUUUUAAACAGUUUCACCAUUCGAUUUCUUAGCAUCAGUCUUCACCGUCCAAUUUAGGACUACUCAAUAGUCCCAGACAGUUGAAGAAAAAGUGCAUAAUAACAUAAAAGAAAAUUAGAGGUGAUACGUACCAGAUCAAGUGCGUCACUUAUGUUGUCCUCAUUAGCUAGAAUGUUGUCGAAAGCGUUUAAGUUUUUCUUGUUGAAUGACAUUAUAUCAAUUUUCGCAUCAAGUAUAAUAUCAUUCUUCCAGGGGAAGGGAUACUGAGCAAGGUAAUGGAUAGGUGCAUUGCCAUGAGCAUCCUUGUCAUUUAAGAGUAUGUUGCUAAGCCACAGAUCCGUUAACACAAAAUAAACUACGUCCUCUUGAUGGCUCUUUAUGGCAUAGUGAAGCACAUUUUGACAUUUGUUGUCGACCAGUUCACAACAAUCGGGGCAAUGAGUAAGAAGCUCUUUCAUUAUAUCUAGAUGGCCGUCGGACGCUGCAAAGUGAAGAGCUGUGCGCCCAUCAUUAUCAGCAACGUAGGCGGUAGAUUUAUCACAUUCCAAUAGUUGAUUAACCAUUGAAAAGUAACCAAAAUCUGCAGCCAUGUGAAGCGGAAUGCAUCCUCGUUCGUCUGCUGCUUUUGCCAGAGUUCUAUCCGAUUUUAGUAAUGCUCUCGUCAUUACUUAUGUAUAAAAAGAAAAAGAAAACACAAAUAAAUACUUCAAGACACAUGUAUUAAUGAAUCAUGAAAUGACAGAUAAAAAGGAAUAUUCUUUAACUAUUUUUUAUAUACAUUUACCUUCAUCAUUGCGGAUAACUGCAGCGUGCAAAGCCGUUCUACCAUUUGGGCCUUCAUAAGUUGGAUUUUUGCAACCUUCAAGUAUUUGAAGACAAUAAUGAGUGUAUCCCCUCUCGACAGCUAGGUAAAGAGGAGUAUCGCCGGCAUCAUUAGCAGAGUAGGAAAACUCAGGGUCUUCUUUGGUUAAUACCUCCACCACACCACAACAACAACAACAAAGCCUUUUCCCACUAAGUGGGGUCGGCUAUAUGAAUCCUAGAACGCCAUUGCGCUCGGUUUUGUGUCAUGUCCUCCGUUAGAACCAAGUACUCUAAGUCUUUUCUUAGAGUCUCUUCCAAAGUUUUCCUAGGUCUUCCUCUACCCCUUUGGCCCUGAACCUCUGUCCCGUAGUCACAUCUUCGAACCGGAGCGUCAGUAGGCCUUCUUUGCACAUGUCCAAAUCACCGGAACCGAUUUUCUCUCAUCUUUCCUUCAAUUUCGGCCACUCCUACUUUACCUCGAAUAUCCUCAUUUCCAAUCUUAUCAUUUCUUGUGUGCCCACACAUCCCACGAAGCAUCCUCGUCUCCGCCACACCCAUUUUGUGUACGUGUUGAUGCUUCACCGCCCAACAUUCUGUGCCAUACAACAUCGCUGGCCUUAUUGCCGUCCUAUAAAAUUUUCCCUUGAGCUUCAGUGGCCUACGACGGUUACACAACCCGCCGGAUGCACUCUUACACUUCAUCUAUCCAACUUCUAUUCUAUGGUUGAGAUCUCUCUAAUUCUCCGUUCUCUUGCACGAUAUAUCCUAGGUAGCGAAAACGGUCGCUUUUUGUGAUCUUCGCUAGAUUGCUCCGAUCAUUAGUGUGGAUAAGUAUAUAAAUGGAUAUAGAUAGGAAAGCAAACACAAGAUGUACGUGGUUCACCCAGAUUGGCUACGUCCACGGAAUAGAGGAGUUCUCAUUAAUUGUGAAGGGUUUACACAAGUACAUAGGUUCAAGCUUUCCUUUAGUGAGUACAGGUGAAUGAUUUAGUACAAAUGACAUUAGGAAAUAUUGUGGGAGAAUGAUCUCGUAAUCACGAAACUUCUAAGUAUCGGAAUGUGGUAUCGUCUUGACUUGCCUUAUCUGUCUCACAGGUAGAUGUGGCAUCUUCUCUGGAAGUACUCUUCCUCCAUCCAGGGGUGGUAUCUUUAACUGGUGGAGAUGCACAAGGUAAUGUAUCAAUUUCACUUGAAGCUUACUUGUAGUUUCAGGCUUGGUCAAGCGCGAUACAAACCAUGUAGUAGGAGUCCCUCAAGUUGCCGAGCUAGGGGAUUUGCUGAAAGAGGUGACAGACAAGGUAAGCAAUCAGAGCUCCGGCUGAUUGUUCACAUUCUCCCUAUCUUGCAGGCAGCAUGAAGGAUAAAGAGAAGAAAAAUGAGAAGAGAUGAUAUGGGAUACUUUUGCUUUUGAAGAAGUAACUUUCCACAGGCUUAUUCUUGAACUGAGCUGGAGGGUUUUCUGGUUUCCUCCAGAGUAUAAGGCCGACUGAAGAAUUUGAGGGUCAAAACAAGUCCAUCAAAUCUAGAGUACGUUCGACCCCUACUGAUAUGGGAUACUUUUGCUUUGACAGAGUAAUGGAUGUAUCGGCACGUGUGCUGUUACGCUUGUCUCCACAUGCUUCCUUGUAUCCUUCUCACUUGCCCUAUCUGUUCCUCAGGCAGAUGCGGUAUCUUCCCUGAAAGCAUAAGAUGUUGAAGAUGAGUACUCGAGAGCAAUGCCAGGUAAGUAAGUUCCAGGCAGUCAGUUCCUGGCUGGAAGCUUGAUUCCAAGUGCUGACUGAUUGCUCUCUUUCUCCUUGUCUUGCAGGUAAGAACAAGGCCAAAGGAAAAGACAGGGAAAAAGCAUGAUAUGGGAUACUCUUGCUUUUAACCCUGAUGAUAUGAGAUAUUCUUGCUCUAGUAUAACUUGUUUGCAGAGGUAUUAUCGGGGGGAAAGAAAGCUGAAUAUUUCGAAAGGCUUCGUUGAGAGUGCCCUCUCAUAUAUGAGGAAGGGUUGAGCAUUUUUGCAGGUCUGUCUGUCCGUUGGGGAUGGAGGUUGACAUAUAUAGGAGUCUCCUUAACAACAAGUAGUAAUGCUAUUCCUUUACCCUGUCAGAGCACUUUGAAAAAGUGGUCUGUGGUAUGUGGAAAGCUGAUGUUGCGUGUGAAGAUUACAGACAGCUUUAUCCAAGGAGAUCCGGCUCUUGUAGUUGGGAAAGUGUUGCCUCUUCGGUUUUCGAACAAGCAAUCCUAUCAGGGAUCUGGCUCUCGAGAUUCGGAGAACGAUGUCUCUUCGAUUUUUGAGAAAGCAAUCCUGCUGGGGGUCUGGCUCUCGAGAUUCGGAGAGCGGUGUCUCUUCGAUUUUUGAGAAGGUAAUCAUGUUGGGAGUCUGGCUCUCGAGAUUCGGAGGGCGGUGCCUCUUCGAUUUUGGAGCAAGCAAUCUUGUUGGGAGUGUUUUCUCGAAUGUGAGUAAAGGUUGGGCAUGUUUGCUAGUCUACCUUGCCACGAAGCACAGAGGUUGACACACAGGGACUUUCCAAUUAUCCAGCAAUGGUAUUGUUCCUUUACCCUCUCUUCGAUUUUUGAGAAAGUAGUCAUGUUGGGAGUCUGGCUCUCGAGAUUCGGAGGACGGUGCCUCUUCGAUUUUGGAGCAAGCAAUCUUGUUGGGAGUGUUUUCUCGAAUGUGAGUAAAGGUUGGGCAUGUUUGCUAGUCUACCUUGCCACGAAGCACAGAGGUUGACACACAGGGACUUUCCAAUUAUCCAGCAGUGAUACUGUUCCUUUACCCUUGUGGGUAAUAAUAUGGGGUAGCUAGACCUUCAAAAUUUAUGUGUCUAAACUUUGUUAGUGCUGUUUCUUUGCUAUUCUUUUACCCGUCUUGGUCAGAGCGAUGUAGUGGAAGCUGCAAGCUUCACGUGCUCAACUUUGGCAGAGAACUUUGGCAAAGUUAUCUGUGAUACACAUGAGCUACUAUUGCGUGUGGGAAGUGGGUGAUUGAACAGUAAGACUCAUGUGCUUUCUACUUCACCAGAAGUCUUCGACAGAAUGCCCAUAAUUUCCGCAAAGCUGAGUGUGCGUGUGACAGGUGCUGCCAAGGCUGGAAAAGUAGGUGCCUCUUCGAUUUCUGAGAUCGGCCCUCGUGGUCUCUGAGCAGCCCAACUUUUGAGAAAGCAAGCGCCUCUUCGAUUUCUGAGAUCGGCCUUCGUGGUCUUUGAGCAGCCCAACUUUUGAGAAAGCAGACGCCUCUUCGAUUUCUGAGAUCGACCCUCGUGGUCUCUGAGCAGCCCAGCUUUUGAGAAAGCAAACGCCUCUUCGAUUUCUGAGCAGGCGCCUCUUCGAUUUCUGAAGCUCCGUCGAGUGCAGAUUUUUUUAUAGGGGCUGGCAUUAAGUUCCAAAGCACACUUGAAUCUCCACCAGUAGAAGCUCCAUUCUUACACUUCUAAGAUCUUGAUUUGUUCGACCUCUUCUCUCUUCAACACCUUUGAAAAUGUCUGGCCCCUCCGACCGUCGUUUUGACUUGAACCUUGUUGAAGAGGCAGCCCCGCCUUCUCCAGACAACAUAUGGCGCCCAUCCUUCGUCUCCCCUACUGGUCCUCUUACCGUUGGGGAUUCCGUUAUGAAGAAUGAUAUGACCGCUGCGGUGGUGGCCAGGAACCUUCUCACUCCCAAAGAUAACAGACUACUUUCCAAACGAUCUGAUGAGUUAGCUGUUAAGGAUUCUCUGGCUCUCAGUGUUCAGUGUGCAGGUUCUGUGUCUAAUAUGGCCCAACGCCUAUUUGCUCGAACCCGCCAAGUUGAAUCAUUGGCGGCUGAAGUGAUGAGUCUCAAACAGGAGAUUAGAGGGCUCAAGCAUGAGAAUAAACAGUUGCACCGUCUCGCACAUGACUAUGCUACAAACAUGAAGAGGAAGCUGGACCAGAUGAAGGAAUCUGAUGGUCAGGUUUUACUUGAUCAUCAGAGAUUUGUGGGUUUGUUCCAAAGGCAUUUAUUGCCUUCGUCUUCUGGGGCUGUACCGCGUAAUGAAGCUCCAAAUGAUCAACCUCUGAUGCCUCCUACUUCUAGGGUUCUGUCCAGUACUGAGGCUCCGAAUGAUCCCCCUCCGGUGCCUUCUCUUUCUGGGGCUCUACCGACUGCUGCGACUUCUCCUAAGCAACCUUUGUGAAGGCUCUCUCUUGUUUGUUUAUUUUGACUCAUGUAUAUGUACAUAUUUGUAGCUUAUCGGGGAUAUCAAUAAAUAAGCUUUCCUUCAUUUCAACGUAUUGUGUUAAAUACACCAAAGCCUUCUUCUCUAAGUUCUUUGAAUUUUCUUUUGUUGGAGCUUUGUGAGUGGAGCAUGUAGGUUGAGGUAGUGUUCCCUUAAUUUCCUGAGUGAGGAAAACUUCUCGGUUGGAGACUUGGAAAAUCCAAGUCACUGAGUGGGAUCGGCUACAUGAAUCUUAGAACGCCAUUGUGCUCGGUCCUGUGUCAUGUCCUUCGUUAGAUCCAAGUACUCUAAGUCUUUUCUUAGAGUCUCUUCCAAAGUUUUCUUAGGUCUUCCUCUACCCCUUCGGCCCUGAACCUCUGUCCCAUAGUCGCAUCUUCUAAUCGGAGCGUCAGUAGGCCUUCUUUGCACAUGUCCAAACCACCGUAACCGAUUUUCUCUCAUCUUUCCUUCAAUUUCGGCUACUCCUACUUUACCCCGGAUAUCCUCAUUCCUAAUCUUAUCCUUUCUCGUGUGCCCACACAUCCAACGAAGCAUUCUCAUCUCCGCUACACCCAUUUUGUGUACGUGUUGAUGCUUCACCGCCCAACAUUCUGUGCCAUACAGCAUCGCCGGCCUUAUUGCCGUCCUAUAAAAUUUUCCCUUGAGCUUCAGUGGCAUACGGCGGUCACACAAACACGCCGGAUGCACUCUUCCACUUCAUCCAUCCAGCUUGUAUUCUAUGGUUGAGAUCUCCAUCUAAUUCUCCGUUCUUUUGCAAGAUAGAUCCUAGGUAACGAAAACGAUCGCUCUUUGGUAUUUCUUGAUCACCGAUCCUCACCCCUAACUCGUUUUGGCCUCCAUUUGCACUGAACUUGCACUCCAUAUAUUCUGUCUUUUGAUCGGCUUAGGCGAAGACCUUUAGAUUCCAACACUUCUUUCCAAAGGUUAAGCUUUGCAUUUACC
rnacentral:lncRNA from 1 species